rnacentral:rRNA from 1 species
AUUGAACGCUGGCGGCAGGCCUAACACAUGCAAGUCGAACGGUAACAGAAAGCAGCUUGCUGCUUUGCUGACGAGUGGCGGACGGGUGAGUAAUGUCUGGGAAACUGCCUGAUGGAGGGGGAUAACUACUGGAAACGGUAGCUAAUACCGCAUAACGUCGCAAGACCAAAGCGGGGGACCUUCGGGCCUCUUGCCAUCGGAUGUGCCCAGAUGGGAUUAGCUUGUUGGUGGGGUAACGGCUCACCAAGGCGACGAUCCCUAGCUGGUCUGAGAGGAUGACCAGCCAAACUGGAACUGAGACACGGUCCAGACUCCUACGGGAGGCAGCAGUGAGGAAUAUUGCACAAUGGGCGAAAGCCUGAUGCAGUCAUGCCGCGUGUAUGAAGAAGACCUUCGGGUUGUAAAGUACUUUCAGCGAGGAGGAAGGGAGUAAAGUUAAUACCUUUGCUCAUUGACGUUACCCGCAGAAGAAGCACCGGCUAACUCCGUG